AGGAGCUGGGAGACUACAGAGAGCUAGAGGUCACCUUUUCAUGUUAGAGAGCAGCUUCUGCAGUUUCUCAGUUUCUUCCUUGGUUGUCCUCUUCUUAACUAAAGGAGGACACAGCGUUAGGCUGAAGGGAAGGCUGAGGGGGCAACCGCUGUGAAGCUGAAGGACUUUGAAGGACACGUGACUUGGCAACCCCCAGAGCGCAUGCUCAGAGUACAACUUAAACUCAUUGCUUGCUGUCCUAAAUCUAAUUCCACGUGAUCGUCAAUGCUCUGACAGCGCCCAUCUUGUGGGAAAGGCGGAGGUGACGUGAGGUCAGAUAGAAGAUGGGAUCGUCCCGGCCUCUUCCCCACCCACGUAAGUCUUCAUUAGUUCUCACUGUUUAUUUUACAGUCUUGAGGGCUUGGAGACUGGCUUCUGGGGCCAGUCAUCACAGAAGGUGAUCUGUGGAACCCUCAGCCACGGGGGUAGGGAGCCAAAGGAGUCAGGAUUUACCUCUUAGCGUUCUAUCACUAGGCUUUUGCUUGAUUCUUCGGAAACACUUGAAAGACAAAAAGCAUUACAAUAUGAAGCGGAGACGUCAAUUUUUUUUUUUCCACGUCGAAAGUGAUACAAAAUCCUGAAGUCUCCCCAAGUCACGGUCUGUAAUCCAGCUCUAUGGUCCCUGCAUCUCUCCCUCAUUUCAUGACCCCAGCUCAUGUUCUCCUCUUGUUUCUGACUCGCUUAGAGGCUCUCCCACACCCUAUACCCUCCAUCCCAUCUCAUGGAUAAGUUCUGUGGUGGACUCGGAGGGGGGGAGGGGCAUGAAGAACCGUGAAACAAAUUAAUCGAUGAGUAACACUAGUAACCAAAGGACUUCAGUUAUCAAAGGACAUAAAUGUCCACCAACCAACAGAGCUGGGACCCAGUGGGAAAAAAAAUCCUUAUUACAAAAGAAAAACCAAAAAGUAAGAUAACCGAGAGAUGUGGAGGGCAUGAAUUUCCUUAAACGACAUGCUUAGGCCUGGUCACAGUAUUUUCCUACCUUGGUACAGCUCUUGAUAGGUCCCAACCUUAAUCCUCGGUGGCUCCUUCUCACAUGCCAAAUAAUCAAUGCAAUAAUGAAGAGAGAUCCAUAUGUAUAUACCGAGGAUCCCACAUCCCACAGAAUAAAAGAAGGGACCAUCAUUAUCCGACUUUCCUACUCAUCCCUCCCCUGGGCUUCCAGGGUGUUAGAAUGCAAUGCCCCUGAGUUCUAGAGUUUGGCUCUCUGCCUCACAGAAGAUAUAACCAGGCCACCAAACUACAUCACAAAGAGCCCUUGUUCCACAAAUCAGGCGCAGAAUUACAAACCUUUCCCUAUCUUGGAUAAACUCAAGUGGUGAUUCGGUGUCCAGAUGAGGGUGUGUGGUUGUCUCCAGGGGCUGCAGCGCCUGUGAUGAAAGCUGCUGCCGUCGUCGAUGGCAUCUUCCCUUUGUGCUUUCCUACUCCCUGGGCAUAGGGCUUCCUGCAAUAGCUCUGUUCCCUGUUCAUUCCAAUCUGGCAACUGCCAAGAUGGGGGCUAAGAGCAAUACCAUAAACUAAAUCAUCUGUACUGGGGAGAUAGAUCAAAAUCAUAGAACAGGGUUAGGCAUUACACUGUUAAAUCUUUUUUAAAAAGAUUUAUUUAUUUAUUCUUAUGUAUGUGAGUACACUGUAGCUGUACAGAUGGUUAUGAGCCUUCAUGUGGUUGUUAGGAAAUGAAUUUUUAGGACCUCUGGUCAACUCUGCUCAUUCAGUCCCUCCUCACUCCGGCCUAAAGAUUUAUUUAUUAUUAUACAUAAGUACACUGUGGCUGUCUUCAGACACACCAGAAGAGGGCGUCAGAUCUCAUUAUGGGUGGUUGUGAGCCACCAUGUGGUUGCUGGGAUUCGAACUCAGAACCUUUGGAAGAGCACUGACUGCUCUUACCUGCUGAGCCGUCUCACCAGCCCACAUUGCUAAAUCUUAAAAGCGUAAUUUUAAUGUGUCAGGCAAUGACUGAUACCCAGUAUUGAAGCAAGAGCCAUCCUUUCCUGAGACAGAGAAAGUAUGAAAUGGUGUUUUAACAGGGAUACUUUCUGUUCUGGAAAUGUACAGUGGUGACGGCCAUACUGAGUGUCCUUUAUGCUUCUGAACUUCGCACUUACAAACAAUUAAGGGGCAGCCAUGGAACUCAGUAGGAGAACCUUUGCCAGCGGAUGUAAGGCUUUAACUUGACCCCAAGCACCAAAAUAACAUAAUGAAUGCAUGAAUACCAAGAAAAGUUAUUAAAAUGGUGAGUUUAUUUUAUGCUAAGUAUAUCAGCAAAAGGAAAAGUAUUUUUAAAAUUUUGGUCAUGAGGACUUUUUAUCUUUUUUACUACUUACAAGGAAGAAUAUUAUGGAAAUUAUUUGAUAGAUGAAUUAAUGAAUGUUUUUCUCAAACAUCUCUUACCAAUUUUUAGAUUAAGGAAAAUUUCGGAAAAGUCACACUUGAACAUGUGAUGGACUCAAGCCAUUUCCACAUCUUUUAUGAAUUUGCAAAUAUUAACGUGCAGGAAUGAGUGUACUCACUCACUAGCAAGCGUCAAGUGAAAAGCAGCGUUAGGUUUGAGUCUGGAAUAUCCUCACGGUCUCACACUUUUGCCUCUGGAGACCUCGGGAGGGGUUCACCAGUGCAGGCCUUUGCAGGUUAUAGGUCUGGUUAGGCUCUUUCUCUACCUCCUGGCCCACCACCAUGGGAACAGCCACUGCCUCGUGUUCCCAUUGCCACAGACUGAUCCACUCUGCCAUGCUCCCCCACUCUAGAAACUAAAACUGUAAGUAAGCCAAGACAAAUCCCACCCUCCUAUUCAUCAGAUAUUUUGAUCCCAGUGAGACAAAAGCAACUCAGAUAAUCAGUGCAAGUCAGCGCUUUAGCAGCAGGCCCACAUGCCUACAAAGUAGCAGGUUUCUUUUACUGUUGACAAACCUCAAUCCGAAACUCAAAGUAUUCCAAAAUCUGAAUUU
rnacentral:lncRNA from 1 species